AUUGAACGCUGGCGGCAUGCUUUACACAUGCAAGUCGAACGGUAACAGGUUAAGCUGACGAGUGGCGAACGGGUGAGUAAUGCAUCGGAACGUGCCCGGUCGUGGGGGAUAACGCAGCGAAAGCUGCGCUAAUACCGCAUACGAUCUAAGGAUGAAAGCGGGGGACCGUAAGGCCUCGCGCAAUCGGAGCGGCCGAUGUCAGAUUAGGUAGUUGGCGGGGUAAAGGCUCACCAAGCCAACGAUCUGUAGCUGGUCUGAGAGGACGACCAGCCACACUGGGACUGAGACACGGCCCAGACUCCUACGGGAGGCAGCAGUGGGGAAUUUUGGACAAUGGGCGAAAGCCUGAUCCAGCAAUGCCGCGUGUAGGAAGAAGGCCUUCGGGUUGUAAACUGCUUUUGUACGGAGCGAAAAGGUCUCCUCUAAUACAGGGGGCUCAUGACGGUACCGUAAGAAUAAGCACCGGCUAACUACGUGCCAGCAGCCGCCGCGG
rnacentral:rRNA from 1 species